UACGAAGGGGGCUAGCGUUGCUCGGAAUCACUGGGCGUAAAGGGUGCGUAGGCGGGUCUUUAAGUCAGGGGUGAAAUCCUGGAGCUCAACUCCAGAACUGCCUUUGAUACUGGCGACCUUGAGUCCGGGAGAGGUGAGUGGAACUCCGAGUGUAGAGGUGAAAUUCGUAGAUAUUCGGAAGAACACCAGUGGCGAAGGCGGCUCACUGGCCCGGUACUGACGCUGAGGUGCGAAAGCGUGGGGAGCAAACAGGG
rnacentral:rRNA from 1 species